GACAGAGGUGCCAAGCGUUAGGCGGAAUCACUGGGCUUAAAGCGUGUGUAGGCGGAAUGGUAAGUACCUUGUGAAAUCCCACGGCUCAACCGUGGAACUGCUUGGUAUACUGCUUUUCUUGAGCCACUUAGGGCAACCGGAACAAACGGUGGAGCGGUGAAAUGCGUAGAUAUCUGGAGGAAUACCGGUGGCGAAGGCGGCAUCCUGGACCGAGAUUGACACUGAUGAGCGAAAGCUAGGGGAGCAAACGGG
rnacentral:rRNA from 1 species